rnacentral:rRNA from 1 species
UNUGACUUGAGUGCAGAAGGGGAGAGUGGAAUUCCAUGUGUAGCGGUGAAAUGCGUAGAUAUAUGGAGGANCACCAGUGGCGAAAGCGGCUCUCUGGUCUGUCACUGACGCUGAGGCUCGAAAGCGUGGGUAGCGAACAGGAUUAGAUACCCUGGUAGUNCACGCCGUAAACGAUGAGUGCUAGGUGUUAGGCCCUUUCCGGGGCUUAGUGCCGGAGCUAACGCAAUAAGCACUCCGCCUGGGGAGUACGACCGCAAGGUUGAAACUCAAAGGAAUUGACGGGGGCCCGCACAAGCGGUGGAGCAUGUGGUUUAAUUCGAAGCAACGCGAAGAACCUUACCAGGUCUUGACAUCCCGAUGCUAUUCUUAGAGAUAGGAAGUUACUUCGGUACAUCGGAGACAGGUGGUGCAUGGUUGUCGUCAGCUCGUGUCGUGAGAUGUUGGGUUAAGUCCCGCAACGAGCGCAACCCUUAUUGUUAGUUGCCAUCAUUAAGUUGGGCACUCUAGCGAGACUGCCGGUAAUAAACCGGAGGAAGGUGGGGAUGACGUCAAAUCAUCAUGCCCCUUAUGACCUGGGCUACACACGUGCUACAAUGGUCGGUACAACGAGUUGCGAGCCGGUGACGGCAAGCUAAUCUCUGAAAGCCGAUCUCAGUUCGGAUUGGAGGCUGCAACUCGCCUCCAUGAAGUCGGAAUCGCUAGUAAUCGCGGAUCAGCACGCCGCGGUGAAUACGUUCCCGGGCCUUGUACACACCGCCCGUCACACCACGAGAGUUUGUAACACCCGAUGUCG